GACAUUAUGGCCGAGAGGUUAAGGCGUGAGACUCGAAAUCUCUUGGGCUCUGCCCGCGCAGGUUCGAAUCCUGCUGAUGUCG
rnacentral:tRNA from 3 species